AACUUUUGCUUUUGUUUGUUCGUUUUGAAGCCAAGAUGGCAGCGCCCACGACGCGAAGGGGGGUAGUUUGUUUACGUUGUGCCACCGUAGAAAAGACGCGUCCCGGGCGCUCGCACCGUCACCGUGUGCAAGUUUUUCGCAUCAGUCGUUCCUGUUAUCGUAGAUAAUCAACGUCCCCAGCCUACGCUUAUGGUUUACGCUUCAAAGAAGAGCUGCCGGGCGGAGAACUUCGUCUCAUUGUGUCACGAUGGCUGCCUAUUGCUCUGCGCUCGGCUGUAGCCGCACCGACGGCCGAGACGAUAUUUUUGGAACGCUGCUCUCUGAAGAUGGAACCACCGGGCCCACGCCAAAACCAAGUCUUUGUAGCAAAAGAGAUAAUGGUGACAUCGCAGCAGAGCCAGUACAUCAGGCAGCACCGAGACUGGUUUGUGAGUCGGGAAAAGCUGUAGAAACGUCAUCAGGGCCAGCGUGUGAGCCGGGCCAGUGUCACCGAUAAAUCUGUUCAAGUGCGCCUACUAAUCCACCACGAAGCAUCACAAGCGGAUGAAAAGAAAAUUCUGUCAACAUGUGCUACACAAACAGAGCCUGAAUCUGUUUCUUCAGGUUCCUUGUCCUUUGCGUCCCCGGAGCAGUCUUAUUCUUUGGCGUCUGUUCGAGGUCGACUCCAUUCCUGCCAGCAGUGCACCUAUGUGACCCUGGACAAGUCAACGAUGAACAGACACCUUCAGAAACAUAUGGGCGAGCUCCCCUUUCAGUGUCACAUGUGCCCAGCUGCAUUCACUGCGGAGUCGAAGCUGGUGACUCACAUACGCUCUCACACAGGAGAGCGCCCCUUUUCCUGUGUCCACUGCAGUGCAUGCUUUACGACAAAAUCUCACCUCGUGAGACACAUCCGCACGCACACAGGAGAGCGCCCCUUUUCCUGUGUGCACUGCAGUGCAACCUUUGUGCAGAAAUACCACCUCGUGAGGCACAUCCGCAGGCACACGGGAGAGCGUCCCAUUACCUGUGCCCACUGCAAUGCAUCGUUUGUGAUGCAAGCCGACCUCGUGCCGCACAUGCGCAUUCACACAGCACAACCCCUAUUCUCCUGUGUCCACUGCAAUGCAUCCUUUACGCAGAAAAAGAACCUCUUGAAACACGUCCGCAUGCACACAGGAGAGGGAUGCUUUUCCUGUGUCCAAUGCAAUGCAUCGUUUGUGACUAAAUGCUACCUCGUUGAGCACAUGCGCUCUCACACAGGAGAGCGUCCCUUCUCCUGUGUUCACUGCGGUGCAUCCUUUUCGCGCAAAUGGAGCCUCGUGACACAUAUACUGACUCACACAGAAGAACGUCCCUUCUCCUGUGUCCAUUGCGAUGCAUCCUUUAAGCAGAAAAAGGGCCUCGAGAGACACCUCCGCACUCACACGGGAGAGCGUCCCUUCUGUGCCCACUGCAAUGCAUCCUUUCCACGAAAACGCCUCCUCAUAGACCACAUUUCCCGCCAUCAUAAAAAUGAGAAGCCAUGAAUGUGACGGGCCUAUGGGCUUUUCUUAAGAGGUGUGGCCGAGAGAGCAGAGUUUGUUCAGUAAAAGUCACUGUGAAAGUUUGGUUUCAAGGGACCCUAAAUACAAAUUAAUAACAUUUUAUGUAAGAAUGAAAGGCCAAUAUUUGAGAACGUCUAAAACGUCAGUGUUAGCAGCAGUGCUCUAAUAGACGAGAAAUUUAUGUAAGUAUAGCGCACAAUAUGCGCCACAAGUGGGACAUUUUGGAAUGAGCCCGAUGACGUCAAGAGUCCCGAAUACAGUACUCACUAGUACUCAGGCUACUUAUAAGGAAAAAUAACGUUCCGUGCAUUACGAAACGCACUUGAAUACUGCUUGUGGGUUACUAUUUGAGUCAUGAAAUAAAGAACCUAACAGCGAAGCUGUUGAGCAAA